rnacentral:rRNA from 1 species
CCUACGGGUGGCUGCAGUGAGGAAUAUUGGUCAAUGGGCUUAAGCCUGAACCAGCGAAGUCGCGUGAGGGAAGACUGCCCUCUGGGUUUUAAACCUCUUUUGUAAGGGCGCGACACCGGCUACGUGUAGCCGGACUGCGCGUACAUGAAGAAAAAGCCUCGGCAAGCUCCGUGCCAGCAGCAGCGGUAAUCCGGAGGCUGAGAGCGUUAUUCGAAUUUAUUGGGUUUAAAGGGUGCGUAGGCGGAAUGCCAGGUCAGCGGUAAAAUCGCGGGGCGCAACCUCGCACCGCCGUGGAAACUGGCGGUCUUGAGUGCACGAGAAGUAAGCGGAAUGCGUGGUGUAGCGGUGAAAUGCAUAGAUAUCACGCAGAACACCGAUGGCGAAGGCAGCAUACCGGCGCCCAACUGACGUUGAAGCACGAAAGCGUGGGGAGCGAACAGGAUUAGAUACCCUAGUAGUC